rnacentral:lncRNA from 1 species
UCCUGCACCCCGAGGUGCCUCGGCUCACCCAUCCUGGCACGCUGGGUGCUUGGCCCUGGGCUCCAUGCCAUCCUGGCAGAGGGUGGCAGAUGGGUGACAACCCAUCCCAGUGAGCCUGUUCGCUGUGGGCACCCCCAGCCACGCUGUGCCCCUGGGUGCUGGCUCUGCCACACCCACGGGGCAUUUUUGUGCAGUGUCCCCCUGGGGCCAGUCCGGACUUGCUCCUCCUCUUGUGCAAACAGGAUUCGGGCAGAUAAGGGGCACUGCCAGCGCUGCCCGGCAAACCUGCUCUGUCCCACGUGGCCACGGGAGAGUCCCCAGCACGCCUGGCCCUGAGGGUGUCCGGUGGGUGCCACAAGGGCUGGGUUGGCACGUGUCGCUGUGCCCUGGCACUGCCCUCUGCUGCCACGCUGCUCUGCUUGUCCCCAGCAGUGCUGUGCCCGUGCCACGACAGCUGGGGCAGCUCUUUCUGAUUCUGGAUUUCUGGGAUUUGAUAUUGGCCAAAUCCCAGUUUUCUGUGUGAUAAAAACCACCUGGGAAAUGAUCCCUGUGAGGCUGGGAGGAGGGGCAGGUGCUGCUGCCCUGCCAGGACCCUGCCAGGGUCCUGCCAUGUGCUUGCUCAGCAGCUCUCUCCUCCAAGGUGUGGAGCCAGGACGUGGCACUGAUCCUGUCCCCACAGCGUCUCAGAACAGCUCAGGGACAGCCCUGUCACCGUCUCCAUCCCCUUCAGCUGCCAGCCAGGGCACUCUGAGUGUGAGUCCAUCUGGCCCUGACCCAGGAACAGUCAGUGCAGCUCCAUCCAACCAAACCACGGCACCAACCCCACCCAGCACCUCGGGGUCAGCAGCAUCUUCAACAUCUGCAUCCAGCAGCACCACAGCACCAGCCCCUUCCAGCACCUCGGGGUCAAAAACACCUCCAUCAUCUGCACCCAGUACCACCAUACCAACUCCAUCAUCUGCCCCCAGCAUCACCGCACCAGCUCCAUCAUCUGCACCCAGUACCACCAUACCAACUCCAUCAUCUGCACCCAGCACCACAACACCAACAACUCCAUCCAAGACCUCGGGAUCAACACCUCCAUUAUCUUCAUCCAACACCACCACAGCAGCAUCUUCAACCAGGACACUGGGAUCAACUGCACCUUUGACACCCUCAUCCAGUGCCACCACGGCACCAACUCCAUCCCACACGAGUGUGUCCAGACCCACAGAGCAUCCAUCCAAGCCAGCCCCCUCUGGGCCUGCUUCUCCCCCCCCAGCCACCGUGAGCUGGGGUCCCAGCGCUGUCACCACCACCUCCAGAAGGACAGCAGCCACUGGGAGCUCCGAGCAGCACCCCACUGAGCUGAGCCCUGGCGUGGUCGUUGUCACCUCCCUCGCCGUCUGCCUGCUGGUGGCGGCGGGGGCCGUGCUGCUGGUGCGGCUGUGCCGGCGCGGGACCCCCCCCUUCCAGCACCUGGAUGAGGUGCCCAUGGUGCGU